ACGGAAGGCAGCAGUGAGGAAUAUUGGUCAAUGGGCGGAAGCCUGAACCAGCCAUGUCGCGUGCAGGACUACGGUCCUACGGGUCUUAAACUGCUUUUGCAAGGGGAUAAAGUGGGGCACGCGUGCCCCUCUGCAGGUACCUUGCGAAUAAGGAUCGGCUAACUCCGUGCCAGCAGCCGCGGUAAUACGGAGGAUCCGAGCGUUAUCCGGAUUUAUUGGGUUUAAAGGGUGCGUAGGCGGGCUGUUAAGUCAGCGGUGAAACCCCCGGGCUCAACCCGGUGACUGCCAUUGAAACUGGCGGCCUUGAGUACGUUGGGAGUGCGCGGAAUGUGUGGUGUAGCGGUGAAAUGCAUAGAUAUCACACAGAACACCGAUCGCGUAGGCAGCGCACUACGCCGCAACUGACGCUGAGGCACGAAGGCGCGGGGAUCGAACAGGAUUAGAUACCCUGGUA
rnacentral:rRNA from 1 species